UCUCCGCCGUCUCCCCGGUCUCCCCUCCCACCCCCCCACCCCUCCUCCGCCAGCCGCGUCCUCCCGGGCUCGGUGAGGAACUGUUCCUGGAGGAGCCGCGGAACGCCGAAACCAGCCAAUGGGAAGAGGCGAGACGCGGAGAUUGGCACGGUGGAUGGGAAGGUUCUCAGACUGUGCUUCCCAGACCAGCAGCAUUAGCAUCACCUGGGAACUUUUUAGAAAUGAAAAUGCUGGGGCCUCACCCUGGACCUACUCAAAAAGAAACUUCGACGUGGGGACCCACAAUUUGGUUUUGACAAGGAGGUCAGCUCAAAUGUGAGAACCACUGCUGCUGUGCUCCUCAUGUGAAAUGGAUCCAGGCCCCAAAGGCAGGAACGGAGGAGGACUGGCAAAGCAAGGCAUUUUCAGCAGAAUGCUGAGCAUAAAUAAAGAUGUGAGGUGUCCAGCUGGAGUAAAGCAAAGUUCGCAUUGGGAAGUCACACGAAGUGAACAUGGAAUAAGGAAGAGCUAGGUUAAGGACUUCAAAUGGAAACCCAUGAUCCCUUCUGCAAGGAUCUUCACCUGGGGUGUUUUAAAAUUUGUUUUUCUCAUUUUCUUUGCCCUUCUCGUGCUGGUAGUAUCUGCACAGCUUGUUCUCCUGGCUCUAGCUAAUUCUUGGUCCUCUGACAGCAGAAAGCAGUGAUCAGACAGGUUGAAUGAUUCAAUGGAAAUGUAAUCUGAUCUCAUCUUAGCCACAUGUAAGAAGCAACCUGCUGUGAACCGGAAUUGUAAUGCUGGGAAUUAUCUGAUUCCUGCAGCCCUCUCUUCUUUCUCUGCCCUGGUGAAUGAUGGCUAAGGAAAUUUAAAGCAUGUAAAACAUGGUAAAUGUCAAUUUGUUGACUUGGCCAUUGAACCGGACAUCUUGCCUUCUUGCAGGUAAAACUAAAGAUCACAAUUUCUAGAUUUUAUUUAUACGGGCCAAGCAUUGAAGUUCUUCUCGAUUCAGGUAUGUCUUCUUUUCCUUUAAACUAUACUUCCAGCUUUGGGGCCAGGUACAAAAGCAAAGCAAAACAGCAACCAAAAAGUGAAGGAAUCUCCUUUGCACACCUGAGCUGCAAAGAGGGACGACCUGCAGAACAGAGUUGACAUGUGAUAGUUCAGUUCCCGGAUAUGAAGGAAAGGAAUCCUCUGCCACUGGCUAAGGAAGGCCAGUUACAAAGCAGGAAAACCAAGAACUGGUAGAAGAAAGUAGAGAA